UAGCAUAUCAAUAAGCGGAGGAAAAGAAACCAACAGGGAUUGCCCUAGUAACGGCGAGUGAAGCGGCAACAGCUCAAAUUUGAAAUCUGGCUCUUUUAGAGUCCGAGUUGUAAUUUGCAGAGGGCGCUUUGGCUUUGGCAGCGGUCCAAGUUCCUUGGAACAGGACGUCACAGAGGGUGAGAAUCCCGUACGUGGUCGCUAGCUAUUGCCGUGUAAAGCCCCUUCGACGAGUCGAGUUGUUUGGGAAUGCAGCUCUAAAUGGGAGGUAAAUUUCUUCUAAAGCUAAAUAUUGGCCAGAGACCGAUAGCGCACAAGUAGAGUGAUCGAAAGAUGAAAAGCACUUUGGAAAGAGAGUCAAACAGCACGUGAAAUUGUUGAAAGGGAAGCGCUUGCAGCCAGACUUGCUUGCAGUUGCUCAUCCGGGCUUUUGCCCGGUGCACUCUUCUGCAGGCAGGCCAGCAUCAGUUUGGGCGGUGGGAUAAAGGUCUCUGACACGUUCCUUCCUUCGGGUUGGCCAUAUAGGGGAGACGUCAUACCACCAGCCUGGACUGAGGUCCGCGCAUCUGCUAGGAUGCUGGCGUAAUGGCUGUAAGCGGCCCGUCUUGAAACACGGACCAAGGAGUCUAACAUCUAUGCGAGUGUUUGGGUGUCAAGCCCGAGCGCGUAAUGAAAGUGAACGGAGGUGGGAACCCGCAAGGGUGCACCAUCGACCGAUCCUGAAGUUUACGGAAGGAUUUGAGUAAGAGCAUGGCUGUUGGGACCCGAAAGAUGGUGAACUAUGCUUGAAUAGGGUGAAGCCAGAGGAAACUCUGGUGGAGGCUCGCAGCGGUUCUGACGUGCAAAUCGAUCGUCAAAUUUGGGCAUAGGGGCGAAAGACUAAUCGAACUAUCUAGUAGCUGGUUCCUGCCA
rnacentral:rRNA from 1 species